UCCCUUUUUUGAUUCAUACGUGUGAUGGCUGGGAAUUCCACACCAUCCAUGACACGUGUCUCCCAUAAACCUUGUUAUAGCAUCAGUACACUAUCCAUCUGAUA
rnacentral:snoRNA from 1 species